GCCUUCGUAGUGUAAUGGUUAGCAUACUUGACGCGCAUUCAAGAGAUCCAAGUUCGAGUCUUGGCGAGGGCA
rnacentral:tRNA from 1 species